rnacentral:rRNA from 1 species
GUUAGGAAUAUUGGACAAUGGGCGCAAGCCUGAUCCAGCCAUGCCGCGUGAGUGAUGAAGGCCUUCGGGUUGCAAAGCUCUUUAGUCCACGAAUAUAAUGACUGUAGUGGAAGAAUAAGCCCCGGCUAACUUCGUGCCAGCAGCCGCGGUAAUACGAAGGGGGCGAGCGUUAUUCGGAAUCACUGGGCGUAAAGCGUGCGUAGGCUGUUUUGUAAGUCAGAAGUGAAAGCCCAGGGCUUAACCCUGGAAUUGCUUUUGAAACUACAAGACUCGAAUUCGGGAGAGGAUAGCGGAAUUGUCAGUGUAGCAGUAAAAUGCGUAGAUAUUGACAGGAACACCAGUGGCGCAAGCGGCUAUCUGGACCGAUAUUGACGCUGAGGAACGAAAGCGUGGGGAGCAAACAGGAUUAGAUACCCCUGUAGUCC